rnacentral:ncRNA from 1 species
GAGAUAGAGGCGCGUUUCGCCAAGAGUAACCGGUACCAGAUGCCUUGCAGGGCAGGGCCGGGGAAAGGGGCAGACGCCGAAGGCAGUCCUUGCUGCAAAGGGGGCUGUGCUGGGCGGGCAAACUAAGAGUUGCCCGACUGUCGCAAAUGGGUAUUUGCGGAGGGCUAUCC